rnacentral:lncRNA from 1 species
UAACGGCGUGGAACUUCUUCUAUAGGCAAAAAUGUCAUCGAAACAUGCGAUUUUCCCAUUGAAAUCCAUUGUGACAAUUAACCCGAGGGCAAGUAUUUCCGAUGAUCGGUCUAAAAAUCAAGAAUAUGACCCUAUUUUUUCUAUUGAAUGAAUUUCCUUCAGAUACAAUCAUGCGUUGAAAAAGAAAUGAUUUAAUAAUAUUCUACGCUGUAGAAAAAGAUAUUUAUAUCAAACGUGCAGAGAACUACAUUAACUAGACGUGCGUUGAGCAAGCACCUUAAUAUUUCUACCUAGGCAUAUACAUUCUCAUCCAUCAGAUGUUCGUCAAAAAGGGGAACCACGGUAGACCUCUGGUAUGCGAGAAUGAGGUAUAGUACUGUAUAUAUCUUUCCUGUGAAUUUACCUCUACAUACAUAUUUUAAUUCCUCUAUAGUGAGGUUUCUAAUUCAAUAUAUCAAAAAGUAAGGUGUUAGCGGAAGAAAAAUAAAAUUAGACCGGAUCUCGUAUUCAAGAUCGAAAGUAAAAGUUAUUUUCAAUAAAAUGUAUCAAAAUGCACUUCAUCGACCGCGCUCAAUGCGGAUGUUGCGGAGUAUAUCUUAAGUGGGCACUUUUGUAAAUUAGUUCGGGAAGUAAACUGAACUCGUUCGCAUGACUUAUAUAUAUUACACAAUAUUAUUUGGAGGAAAACAUUAACUUUGGUAUGAAUUUUUGUACACAUAUUUUUAUUUUUAAAAGCUAGACUGACUGAAAACGAUACAGAAAUAAGAAUUGUGUACAAGAAUAACAAGAAUGACAAAAAGGUCAACGCUGUCGGCAUUAUUGUCAAACGCGAUGGACAAAAUGGGGUACGGUGCAGCUAUGGUUAAAUGUAGACAAGGGACGUAUAGGGAACUGGACAAAAUUUCUAACAGAAAUAAUAAAGAUGGACCAUGUACAAGAUUUACCACUGGCGGUAAGGCUGAGGGAACUGCCCGGUAUUUUGAAAGUGACAUUGAUCACAUGCACAUUGUAAAACACGUAAUUUGCUCCAAUGAACCCGAGCAUUUUGACGGUUCGAGCCAAAUAACACUAUUUAAAGUGGAGAAUGAAGAAACCCCUCCAGGAUACGCAAAGCUGAAACUGUUAAAGCAAAAUGGAAAUUGUCUAAAAGAAGAAAUUGCUGAUUCACUCUUUGAAAAUUCUAAAGGUGAGAAAUAUAUUUCGAGUAUAAAAUUCACAGAGAAUAUAAAGGAGUACUACAAUAUGGCUACCUGGCUUUACAGCCCAGGCAAAAAGUGGACCUUCAUCACCUGUAAGCAAUGGAUACCUGUCUAUUGAUAGAGUCGUUUCUUUCAACUGUUUCCUUCCAACUGAUAGUAGAAAUUGGCCGAGUCAGAGAUCGGAACAUACAUGGUGUGGAUUUAAAAAUAGAUUGGAUAUUUCUGAAAUCGAGGCUCACGCUGUUCCAGUUGGUAACAAUCUAAGCGCGGAUAAAUAUUUGGAAUGGCGAGUGAGUUACACCAAGGCGGAGCUAUUCCUCAUAUUGUCUUUAAGUCAACCUGAGUUAAAAGUUUAUAUACUUUUAAAACUUAUUACAAGAACUGUUCUAAAACCUAUAUGUAACGAAAUGACGUCAUACCUGAUGAAAAAUGUAAUUUUAUGGGUAUGUGACCGUCACCAUAGCCCGUAUUUCAGUAGGAAACGAAAACAUUCUAGACGUUCUACAGUGUAGUAUAAAUUUUUUAAGAAAUUGUUUGUUGGCGAAUGUUCUCCCAAACUUUAUGCUGCCAUCGAGAAACUUAUUACGUGGUCGCGUAGGACUGCACGAGAACAAGAAGUUAAUACAUAUCUUAAGUAAUAUGUUAAGUUCCGGACCAGCGAUGAUUUUCUAUUGCAGCAAAGUAAAAAUCGCAAUGCAUGCUAUUCUUACAAUACCAAAGAUAUUUGAAGCUUACAGCGAGUUUAGGGAUGAUAUAGAAAAGAUAAUAAUGGUUCUGUGCACGUGCCGUGCAAGAUUGAGAACACCAGGCGUCAGUCAAGAACAGUAUGAUAAAUUGUUGUUACAGGAUAGAAUAUACAGGACAACGAAGUUGAAGAUACUGACACAUAUUGGACUUUUAUCUCCAUCCACCGAAGUUAGCCAAGACGAGAUAGAAGAACUUAUAAAAUCAACCAAAGGAAAAUACUAUGAACGACUUUCACGGAUGUUAUCGUAAAACAAAUGCAACUAUUCAACGAUUUAUAUACUUCCAAUCUUUAAGGUUUGAUUUGGUUUGGGUUUACGGCGCGCCAACACAAUACAUGGCGCCAGAUAGGACUAAAAGUCUAAACUGUUUGUUUUCACAUCUAAAUUAUAUCAAAAUAAAAAAUAUGAGGCAUGGAA